rnacentral:rRNA from 1 species
UACGUAGGGUGCGAGCGUUAAUCGGAAUUACUGGGCGUAAAGCGUGCGCAGGCGGUGAUGUAAGACAGGUGUGAAAUCCCCGGGCUUAACCUGGGAACUGCAUUUGUGACUGCAUCGCUGGAGUGCGGGCAGAGGGGGAUGGAAUUCCGCGUGUAGCAGUGAAAUGCGUAGAUAUGCGGAGGAACACCGAUGGCGAAGGCAAUCCCCUGGGCCUGCACUGACGCUCAUGCACGAAAGCGUGGGGAGCAAACAGG